GGUUAAAAAGCUCGUAGUUGGAUUUCUGUUGAGGGCGACCGGUGUACACCUCGUGUAUUAUUUGGUUCGGUCUCGGCAUCCUCUUGGGGAACGUUUCUGGACUUUAUUGGACAGGGCGAGAUUCAAGACUUUUACUUUGAGGAAAUUAGAGUGUUCACGGCAGGCAAGCGCUUUGAAUACAUUAGCAUGGAAUAAUAAUAUAGGACCUUCGUUCUAUUUUGUUGGUUUCUAGAACUUAGGUAAUGAUUAAUAGGGACAAUUGGGGGCAUUCGUAUUAACGCGUCAGAGGUGGAAUUCUUGGAUUGCGUUACGACGAACUACUGCGAAAGCAUUUGCCAAAGAUGUUUUCAUUGAUCAAGAACGAAAGUAUGGGGAUCGAAGACGCUUAGAUACCGUCGUAGUCUAUACCAUAAACUAUGCCAACUAGAGAUUGGUGGGGUUCUCCUAUUUGGCUCCAUCAAGCAUCUUAUGAGGAAUCAAAGUCUUUGGGUUCCGGGGGGAGUAUGGUCCGCAAGGCUGAAACUUAAAGGGAAUUGAC
rnacentral:rRNA from 1 species